AUUGAACGCUGGCGGCAUGCUUUACACAUGCAAGUCGAACGGUAACAGGCCUUCGGGCGCUGACGAGUGGCGAACGGGUGAGUAAUGCAUCGGAACGUGCCCAGUCGUGGGGGAUAACGCAGCGAAAGCUGUGCUAAUACCGCAUACGAUCUGCGGAUGAAAGCGGGGGACCUUCGGGCCCCGCGCGAUUGGAGCGGCCGAUGUCAGAUUAGGUAGUUGGUGGGGUAAAGGCUCACCAAGCCAACGAUCUGUAGCUGGUCUGAGAGGACGACCAGCCACAAUGGGACUGAGAAACGGCCCAGACUCCUACGGGAGGCAGCAGUGGGGAAUUUUGGACAAUGGGCGCAAGCCUGAUCCAGCAAUGCCGCGUGCAGGAAGAAGGCCUUCGGGUUGUAAACUGCUUUUGUACGGAGCGAAAAGGCUCCCUCUAAUACAGGGGGCUCAUGACGGUACCGUAAGAAUAAGCACCGGCUAACUACGUGCCAGCCGCCGCCGUAACAC
rnacentral:rRNA from 1 species